CAAUUAGGAUAUUGAAUAGAGAGAUUUGUAGUUUAAUAAUUAUAUGUCCUAAUUAAGGCAAGCCAUUAAUUAUUUUUGAAACUCCAAAACAGUAUAGAAGUAAUCAAUAUAAAAUGCUUGGAAACUAGAGAAACCAACCGACUGACCCAAUUGCUUGAAUUCUUCUUCUGUCCUGUGCUUGCCCUUAGCUCUAUAAAUUGUCAUGACAAAUAUGUCACCUUCCAAGAGAGCUCUUGUCCUAUGGCUGUCAUCGGAAUCCUUUGGCAACACUGGCUCACAAGCUAUUAGUUUCCCUCCUACAGGAAGUGCCUUGUAACAAUUUUCCAU
rnacentral:misc_RNA from 1 species